AGGCCUAAUACAUGCAAGUCGUACGGCAGCACGGGUAGCAAUACCUGGUGGCGAGUGGCGCACGGGUGCGUAACACGUAUGCAAUCUUCCUUUAACUGGGGAAUAACUCGCUGAAAGGCGAGCUAAUACCGCAUAACACUUCGAGGUGGCAUCACCAUGAAGUUAAACCUCCGGGGGUUAAAGAUGAGCAUGCGUCCGAUUAGAUAGUUGGCGGGGUAACGGCCCACCAAGUCUACGAUCGGUAGGGGGUCUGAGAGGACUAUCCCCCACACUGGUACUGAGACACGGACCAG
rnacentral:rRNA from 1 species